rnacentral:rRNA from 1 species
CAGUCGCCACGGUAAUACGUAGGGUGCGAGCGUUAAUCGGAAUUACCGGGCGUAAAGCGUGCGCAGGCGGUUAUAUAAGACAGUUGUGAAAUCCCCGGGCUCAACCCGGGAACUGCAUCUGUGACUGUAUAGCUAGAGUACGGUAGAGGGGGAUGGAAUUCCGCGUGUAGCAGUGAAAUGCGUAGAUAUGCGGAGGAACACCGAUGGCGAAGGCAAUCCCCUGGACCUGUACUGACGCUCAUGCACGAAAGCGUGGGGAGCAAACAGGAUUAGAUACCCGGGUAGUCCCUGUCUCUUAUAC